GGACAACAUUACUGACAGAGAUUUAAACCAGGUGGACAACACUGUGUCUGAUAUGGACAGGAGACACCAGCACUGCUCUGAUGACCUGCAGAGAAGAGAGGACACAAACAGACAGAGAUUUAAACCAGGUGGACAACACUGUGUCUGAUAUGGACAGGAGACACCAGCACUGCUCUGAUGACCUGCAGAGAAGAGAGGACACAAACAGACAGAGAUUUAAACCAGGUGGACAACACUGUGUCUGAUAUGGACAGGAGAAAGCAGCACUGCUCUGAUGACCUGCAGAGAGGACAGGAGACAAAGAGACAGAUGUACAGAAGACGUUACUUGAAUCGUCUUCCACAUACACGUGAAUAAUGUAUAGUCAUUUGUAAACCCACUGAUCUUGGUGCCCUUUGCUUAAUGUAUUCAACAUGACCCCGGGACAACUUACUCCUUCUAAGGCUGAGAAACAGGUGUGUGAAAAUAUAUGACAGAUAAUGACAACAAUACGACGGGGGGUUUCUGUAUGCAGACAUUGAAUAAUAUCAUGUUCUGUAUAGAUAUGACAACAAUACGACGGGGGUUUUCUGUAUGCAGACAUUGAAUAAUAUAAUGUUCUGUAUAGAUAUGACAACAAUACGACGGGGGGUUUUCUGUAUGCAGACAUUGAAUAAUAUCAUGUUCUGUAUAGAUAUGACAACAAUACGACGGGGGUUUUCUGUAUGCAGACAUUGAAUAAUAUCAUGUUCUGUAUAGAUAUGACAACAAUACGACGGGGGUUUUCUGUAUGCAGACAUUGAAUAAUAUCAUGUUCUGUAUAGAUAUGACAACAAUACGACGGGGGUUUUCUGUAUGCAGACAUUGAAUAAUAUCAUGUUCUGUAUAGAUAUGACAACAAUACGACGGGGGUUUUCUGUAUGCAGACAUUGAAUAAUAUCAUGUUCUAUACCAAAACAUAUUCUUGAAAACAAGUACAGCAUGUAAACCAGAAAUAAAGGCAGAUCAUAGUUUUAAUUCUGUGUCAACAAACUGUUCUAAAAAUAUGUAUCUUGUUCUUCUCGGCUCUGUUGGCUGGUGGAGUUGCUUCAUUGUUAAAUCUAUAUUUUUUUUAAAGGUAUGAUAAAUAUAUAUAUAUAUGUUUUAUAUGAAAAAGGGAUUGGUUUAAAACUGGAGAUUUUAUUUGAUAGAUUUAUAACAUUCAAUUAUGUUUGUUUUUUUUUACAUUUCUUUUAUGUUGAUAAAAUGUUUUGCCUUGAUGAGAACAUGGCAGGCAGGUAGAGGGUGACUAAAAACAAAAUGGCUUCCUUUCAAAACAAUCCCGUUCCGUGUUCACGUGCUAAUCGGAACUUGGACAUUUCAGACAUGCUAACUGGUUGUGGUUACACACGCGCCCGCGUUCAACCAGUUAGAAAGUCUGAAUUUCCUAGUUCCGACUAGCAAGUGAACACGGCGUUAAACCCCCCCAUUUUCCGCGCAGGGAUAUGACAUCAUCAGUAUGAAUCUGCUGCAGGUGUUUUGACGAAUGUUUAUAUGUUGUUGUUUAAAAUAAAAAUUUUUUUUUUUUUUAUCAUUUAAAUGAUUGAUUGUUUUUAAAAAAAAUCAUUUAAAUGAUUGCUUGUUUUUUUAAAACAUUUAAAUUAUUAAUUAAAUAAUUUUUUUAAAAUCAUUUUAAAUGAUUGAUUGUUUUUUAAAUUUUUAUCAUUUUAAUGAUUGAUUGUUUGAUUUUUUAAAACAUUUAAAUUAUUAAUUUUUUUUUUAAAUUUUUAUCAUUUUAAAUGAUUGAUUGUUUUUUAAAUUUUUAUCAUUUUAAUGAUUGAUUGUUUGAUUUUUUAAAGCAUUUAAAUUAUUAUUUUUUUUAUUUUUUUUUAAUCAUUUUUAAUGAUUGAUUGUUAUUUAGUUUUUUAAUCAGAAUGCUGUAUCUCUGUUAAUUGAUUGAAGGCAUCUACCUCAGUGUCCGCAUCACGUUUCAUUUCCAACAGCAGCUGUGACCCCUGGGGUCGUGUUCCAAUGGAAGACAACAGGAAGGGGACUACCUUGAGUUCAACAAUAAGAAACACUCACCCCGUGUUAACUAUGUCACCCCGUGUUACCCCGUGUUAACUAUGUCACCCCGUGUUAACUAUGUCACACCGUGUCACCCCGUGUUAACUAUGUCACCCCAUAUCACCCCAUGUUAACUAUGUCACCCCGUGUUAACUAUGUCACCCUGUGUUAACUAUGGCACCCCAUGUCACCCCGUGUUAACUAUGGCACCCCGUGUCACCCGGUGUUAACUAUGUCACCCCAUGUCACCCCGUGUUAACUAUGCACCCCGUGUCAGGCCCAGUUAAAACAACCAGUAAUGCCCUAUUCGAUGCAGCAUUGUGAUAAACCCUACUGUCUCCCUGGACUGCAGUACAACAUCAACCCAGUACACCAUCAACCCAGUACACCAUCAACCCAGUACACCAUCAACCCAGUACACCAUCAACCCAGUACACCAUAUUAUACAGUGGUAUAGAUAUCACCAUAUUAUACAGGGAACUCAUCACCGUCGACCCAGUCAGAUGUACUGGUAUAGAUAUCACCGUCGACCCAGUCAGAUGUACUGGUAUAGAUAUCACCAUCGACCCAAUCAGAUGUACUGGUAUAGAUAUCACCGUCGACCCAGUCAGAUGUACUGGUAUAGAUAUCACCAUCGACCCAGUCAGAUGUACUGGUAUAGAUAUCACCGUCGACCCAGUCAGAUGUACUGGUAUAGAUAUCACCAUCGACCCAGUCAGAUGUACUGGUAUAGAUAUCACCAUCGACCCAGUCAGAUGUACUGGUAUAGAUAUCACCAUCGACCCAAUCAGAUGUACUGGUAUAGAUAUCACCGAUCGACCCAGUCAGAUGUACUGGUAUAGAUAUCACCGUCGACCCAGUCAGAUGUACUGGUAUAGAUAUCACCAUCGACCCAGUCAGAUGUACUGGUAUAGAUAUCACCAUCGACCCAGUCAGAUGUACUGGUAUAGAUAUCACCCAUCGACCCAGUCAGAUGUACUGGUAUAGAUAUCACCCAUCGACCCAUCAGAUGUACUGGUAUAGAUAUCACCCAUCGACCCAGUCAGAUGUACUGGUAUAGAUAUCACCGUCGACCCAGUCAGAUGUACUGGUAUAGAUAUCACCAUCGACCCAGUCAGAUGUACUGGUAUAGAUAUCACCAUCGACCCAGUCAGAUGUACUGGUAUAGAUAUCACCCAUCGACCCAGUCAGAUGUACUGGUAUAGAUAUCACCCUCGACCCAGUCAGAUGUACUGGUAUAGAUAUCACCAUCGACCCAGUCAGAUGUACUGGUAUAGAUAUCACCCAUCGACCCAGUCAGAUGUACUGGUAUAGAUAUCACCGUCGACCCAGUCAGAUGUACUGGUAUAGAUAUCACCAUCGACCCAGUCAGACCUACUGGUAUUUGACUUCCAUCAUUACAGACAUCCAGUGUCUACAGGGCAGGACAGGGCCGUACGGGGCAGUAGGGGGCAGUAAGGGGCAGUAGGGGCAGUAAGGGGCAGUAUGGGGCAGUAUGGGGCAGUAGAGGGCAGUACGGGGCAGUAGGGGGGCAUAUGGGGGCAGUAGGGGGGCAGUAGGGGGCAGUAAGGGGCAGUAGGGGGCAGUAAGGGGCAGUAGGGGGCAGUGCAGGUCACAAAUGGCGGGAACGGGAAAGAACGGGUCGGGAUCAUAACAUAGUGGAAGCCCAAAUAUUCACUUCACUGUGCUGAGUCUCUUCACGUCAUUCCACACCUACUGAUCCCAUCUCCCUCCCCCAGCACUGAGCCAUCUCACACCCAUCUCCCCCCCCCCCCAGCACUGAGCCAUCUCACACCCAUCUCCCUCCCCCAGCACUGAGCCAUCUCACACCCAUCUCCCUCCCCCAGCACUGAGCCAUCUCCCCACACCCAUCUCCCUCCCCCA
rnacentral:lncRNA from 1 species